rnacentral:lncRNA from 1 species
UGGGAGCCAUCUUCAACCUUCUUCUUGCCAUCGAUAUUCUUUGGAGGGGAGAUUAGAGCCGUUUGAAGAGAUUUGUGAGAUCUUUCGGGAUUUCAAGGAUCUUUAGGACUUAUCUUUUAUUCUUGCUGUUCAAUUUCUUUUCUUUAUUUCUGUUGAUGCCGAAUCUAUAUCUAAUUUCUUUGCUGUUUUUGUUUGUGUUUCAGCCUUGAUUCAAACUCCAAGAACUCUUCAUUUAAUUGGUUCUUUUAUUGGCAACAUCUAAUCGAUUCAAAAUUCCCCAAAAUUUAGGGUUCUU